rnacentral:lncRNA from 1 species
CUUCCUCUUGGAGCCCUUCUGCAAGCCCAGGACACAGUUACAUGUUCUGGAGGAUGCUGUCUCCUCACCUCUCCUAGCUUGACACCAUCAUAACUCAGCAACCUGGCGUUACACAACUCCCAGUUGCAGGGUCCAUCCGAAAAAUGAAGAAAACCUGUCUUUAAAACUCAUCUUCUGAUCUACUAAACUCAUCUACUGGUCUUUAGUAAAGCAAACGGCUUCAGCCUGAGAAUGCCGAUGUGAAGCAUUCUGAUAUUUAAGGAAGAAAAGAAGGAUGCCUAUUGUUUUGCCUUGUCGUUGACUGACUCCAGCCCAGAACUGGGAGUUAUUUUGGUUGCCAUCCUUUUCCCAGGAGAUUUCAUUUUUUUUUUUUUAACUCAUGUAACACUCUCUAAUUCAGUUUGAAGUAGAAAUGACCAGACUCAGUAAGGCUCACGAGAACAUGGCGGAGCUGCCAGUUUGCACAAAUACCAGACAAAACAGUUCCAUUUUCCACCCCCCUCCCCUUUGCAUUUUGGGUUUCCUUUGAAAUUGUACCUAGACUUCAGAGGAAGCAUGGGGUCCUCAGGACCAGCUGCUCCUCAAACACACACAACAAAACCAUCCAGGCCCACAUGCUCUGCCAUGUAACCUGCACACCACAAAAAUUCAGAUGCCAUCUUCAGUCCUGCAAAAUAUUAAGCCAGGCAUUUAAGAUUCAC